rnacentral:rRNA from 1 species
UACCAGCACCCCGAGUGGUCGGGACGAUUAUUGGGCCUAAAGCAUCCGUAGCCGGUUCUACAAGUCUUCCGUUAAAUCCACCUGCUUAACAGAUGGGCUGCGGAGGAUACUAUAGAGCUAGGAGGCGGGAGAGGCAAGCGGUACUUAGUGGGUAGGGGUAAAAUCCGUUGAUCCAUUGAAGACCACCAGUGGCGAAGGCGGCUUGCCAGAACCGCACUCGAC